CAAACAUUUGGUCUACACUUUGCAAAUUAUUUUCGAGUCAUCUUUAUAACAAUUUAAGUCCAUGGAGUCUAAUUGCAUUAACUAUUGCAUUGACGUACACCAAAGCGACAUUCUCUGAUAGUUCUGCGGAGUUCCGAUGCAGUGGAGAUGGUGGUUAAGCCGGUCAGACAAAGCUGAGAGUUAGGUAAAGAAGGAAUAGAAACCAGUUAAAGGCAGUUUCAGCCUUUUCAAGUUCCUCACCGCAAGGGAAAAGGAGUCUGCAGAUGGAAAGGCAACAGAGGCCAACACAGAUGGUGCUGCCAAGCUUCCAGCUGUGUCCGAUUAGACACAACAUCAACUUACGGAUAAAAAGCAAGCUAAGAUGGGCUCGUGGUGGAAAAAAUGCCAGAAGAAGUGACACGGCCCGACACAUGUCGAGGCAGAUAAGGCGGACAAAUUGGACCCAUCAGGGAGCCCUGACCAGAGCACAUUGAGGUGGACUCUAUUGACACAAUCCACCAGCAACCGCACUCCAAACAAAAUCCAGAAACUGUGUUUUCGAUGCAAUCGCCAUUGAGAACAGUUGGAAUUAUUGGAAUCCAUUAGUGUGUUCAACAAAUCAAAUCUUAAUUUGAAUGGGGAACCAAAGAUCGUUAACAAUUCCAUCGACGGCGGUGAGCUCUGUAUCUGUAUUUAUGUGCAUGCUGCUCAUCUAUAAACUUAUUGCCUAACGUAGACCAAUAGAUCUCAUUUCCUCGUUGUAAACCUAUUGAAAAACUCCCGUCCUCUCAUUC